rnacentral:snoRNA from 1 species
UUCCUCUCUGAAAAGUUGGUCUGAAGUUGUCAAAUAUUUUUUUCACAAAGGGUAUGUGAAGGAAUUCUCAGGGUUGCGAACCUUGUGGAAGAAGUUGAGUGGUAGUAUAUUUCUCCUACAUUA